rnacentral:lncRNA from 1 species
UAGGUGUAGCAUUUACCCAACUACAUGAACAACAAAGACUCUUGUGUGUGUCUUUACCUCUAGUAAGGUAUAGAAAAAAUAAAUUUAGGAGAUGCAAAAGUAGUAGCAAGUAGCCAAGUACAGCUAAAACUACAAAGGGAAUGCCCCUCACUUGUAAGAGAAGAUCUAUUUUGUCCAGUGCGAAGACGGAGUUGUCGUAGUUGGCCUUCUUGAGAACAAGC